CUAGCCCUAAACCCAAAUAGUUACAUAACAAAACUAUUCGCCAGAGUACUACUCGCAACUGCCUAAAACUCAAAGGACUUGGCGGUGCUUCACAUCCACCUAGAGGAGCCUGUUCUAUAAUCGAUAAACCCCGAUAGACCUUACCAACCCUUGCCAAUUCAGCCUAUAUACCGCCAUCUUCAGCAAACCCUAAAAAGGAACAAUAGUAAGCACAAUCAUAGCACAUAAAAACGUUAGGUCAAGGUGUAGCUUAU
rnacentral:rRNA from 1 species